AGACAGCUUCUCCCACAGGAAAUAGGGUGUCUGGGCAGGGCAGGGCUCAAGGCACUUCAUCCUCUGCAUGGGCUUUGUGCGCAGGGGUGGUUCGUGGCCCUGACCCAAACUGCCACACCAGACACGCACUUUCAGCGGAACAGGGCCUCUUCCGAUAGGUCUUGUUGGGCCACAGGGGCUGGUUUUGCCUGCAGCUCUGCGAGCAUCCAACCAAGAGCCACACACAGUGUUGGAGACCACAGCCCUGGGUGGGCUGCCCAUGGGGAACAGGGAGGCAGGCCCACAGAGAAGGGUGGAGCUGCUGGGCAGAGCAGGGGCAACUUGCUGCCAGCAGAGGGGGGUGCUGCCUCACAUUAGACCCAGCUAAGCCCUUCCCACCUCCCUGGGUGCUUUGGAAGCUGGAUUGUGUGUCCUUUCCCUCUCAGGUAACCAGGAGCCACUUGGACGCCCCCCAGCGCGGGAAAGGCAGCAGCAACCGCCUGGAGCAGAGGGUUGUCCUCGGUGCCCGGAGCUGCAGAGACAAAUAUAUGACCUUAGACAGCAACUAGCGGCCAUGCAGUCCCUGGCUGACAAGUUCCAGAACCUGUGAUGUGGAACCCAGCAUCUCGGUGCAAGAGGAGAGCAGCCCCGGAGCUGUGGCCAAGCUGGUUCCCUCCUGUUCCACAUCAGCCAAGGCAUCCUCUCCCCCUCCCUUUGCCUCCUCCACACCCCAUUUCUCAGCAGCUUCAAAUUAAAGUCCCUCUCAAAUUCUGUGGUCUCACCCUGGCCGGUCUGGCUCACUUGGUUGGUUGAGCAUUGUCCCGUGCACCAAAAGGUCACAGGUUUGAUUCCAGGUCAGGGCACGUG